AUGAAAAUUAGAGUGAGAGAGAGGCACACGAAAUUAACCGGAGCCCAACCCCUCCACGCCGGGCGCAACCUAAGAAGCAAACCACCGGCCAGGCCACAACCGCCGGCCAUGGAGCAGGCCCUCCGCGACCACGCGCCGGCCAGGGCGGCGGGGCGCAGGCCGACGCGGUUCACGGCUCUGGAGCUCGCGGCGGCCGAGCAGCUCCUCCACCUCAGCGAGAGCAGCUGCUCCUCGGGCGCUGCCUUCACGCCGCUAGGAUCGGGGACCGCCGCGUCGGCGGCCUGCUCCUCCUCCUCGCCUCGCUCCGUCAACGCUACGCCCGCCGCAACCGCGCUCGACCCCGUCGUCGGCUUCGGCGCGGAUCACGAGGAGGAGGACGACAAGCAGGAGGCGGGCGGGAGGCCGCGGGUGAGCAGGAGGUACCGCUCGGUAGCGGAGUUGUACGGCGCUACGGAUCCGGCUGGAGCGCGCCGGAGAAAGGGCAAGGCCGUCGCCGGCGACCCAAGGGAGGAGAGGAGGAAGUAG
rnacentral:rRNA from 1 species